rnacentral:lncRNA from 1 species
UUACAGCUCCUUUUUAUAAAUAAUAAGCUUAGUAGAGACAAAACUGAAAUUUAAUUUGAAAUUACGUGUUAGAACUACAAAACAAUAGUUGGGAAAAAAGAACUACAAAACAAUAUUAUUUGUAAACACCAGAAUAAAAUCUUAAAAUGACAUUUUUAGAAAACGAAUAGAAUUUUGAUUAAAAAUAUGUGUGUUUUAUUAGUUAAAUAGCAUAUAAUAAAAAGAGUUAUUCUUGGGUUCACCUCCUAAACCAAUCAGAUUUAGUUAUUUCAAAUCCGAUAUCUUUUAAAAAAAGAAACAAAAUAUUGUCAAAUUAUAUUACGUUUUUAAAAUUAAAAAAAUAUAAAUAAAUAAAAAUAAUAGUAGUUGCAAAAAAAAAGUUUUAAAAAAAAAAUUAAUACGAUAAACAAACACUAAACUCUAAAUCUAAACCCUAAACCUUUUGGUAAACCCUAAACCCUUUGAUAAAUUUUAAAUUCUUGAAUUUAAAAAAAAAUAUUUUUAAUACAAUCAACAAAACACUAAACCCUAAAUCCUAAUCCUAAACCCUAAACCCUUGGGUAAACCUUAAACCCUUGGGUAAACCCUAAACCCUUGGAUAAAUCCGAAACUCUUGGAUCAAAUCUUAAACUUUAAGAUUUAUGAUUUAUUCAAUAGUUUAGGGUUUACCUAAAGGUUUAGGGUUUAGGGUUUAAUAAUUGUUGGCAGCG